UGAGCAUGACUUCACCCUUAGAAAUCUGU
rnacentral:piRNA from 1 species